UUGUCCCCUAUCGUUACAAUGAUGUAGCAUUGGAAGAUGGGAAGGAGAUGCCUCUGCCCUCUACCUUUGUUGUUAAUAUCGCUGAUGUCAGUGGCCUGACUUUUAGUGGUCACAUUUUCUCGGCUCCGCCGAAACCCCAGGCUGACAUCAGAAGGGCUGAUGUUGCUGAUUGUGUUGUUCGUCCGGUUGGAGCUGCUGAUAUUUCUCUGAAUCCGG
rnacentral:lncRNA from 1 species